UACAUGGGGUGCAAACGUUGCUCGGAAUUAUUGGGCGUAAAGCGCACGUAGGCGGUCCGUUAAGUCGGAUGUGAAAGCCCCCGGCUCAACCGGGGAAGUGCAUCCGAAACUGGCAGGCUAGAGUACGAAAGAGGGUCGCGGAAUUCCCGGUGUAGAGGUGAAAUUCGUAGAUAUGGGGAGGAACACCAGUGGCGAAGGCGGCUCACUGGCCCGGUACUGACGCUGAGGUGCGAAAGCGUGGGGAGCAAACAGG
rnacentral:rRNA from 1 species